CUGCUCUCUCCACCAUGCAUUAGCUUCUCUCCCAGGUGAGAAACGUAACUGGCUGCCCUCUCCCUGGUGUCCAGUCACCAAGGCCACACAAAUCCAAAGAGACAGGCACUCUCUUGAGGGACUAUCAAUCUCCCCUGGUGUACCCUUCUGUUUCUUUGGGCUCACGCAGCUCCCUCCCUGGGCUUUUAACUGGGCCUGGAAGGGAACCUGUCAAAUGUCCUUAAAUUCUCCAGUUCAAUCAACUCGACUGCGCACAUGCGAGUGCCAUGUGCGAGUACGACCUGCAGAGGGCGCAGGAAGCCUUAAAGAGAGCGUCGUGAAGGUGGGCUCAGUCUCCAGAAUCUGGAGAUGGAGAAGUAGGGUUCCCUGCAGAGAUCCUUUAGACAGAGGACGCUUCGGUGAUCUGUGAACAUACACCCAGCACUUACAGCUUCAGCCCAUGCUCCUCUCUCAAGUUCCUUAGGCCGCACCCCCCCCCCCAAAAAAAAAACUUUCUACCGCAGCCAACCCAACUCCUUUUGCCCAAACCCCAACUCUCCCAAAUCCUCCACGUUCCAUCCUAAGAAUGAGGCUGGCCUGUAGACCACAGCAUGGAGAAGGCUCAAUUAAGACCAAUCAGAGCCGACGGCAGUACCUGCAAAGUUAACUUUCUGGGGUGAGCUCCCCCCUUCUCGCUCCCCCUCCCCCCGCCCCCCGCCGGCCGCGCAAUAUUUUCCCCAAUGUUUUCCUGGCUCUGGUUCAGGUCCUCUUCGUGGACAGCCGGUCCAGGGAUCCGCGCCGGGAUUUACCGUGCACCAAGAGCAGCGUGUUCGGGAGGGGGGGUAGUAGGCAGUAUAGGGUCCCUCAAGGGAGGGGGAGGAUCCUGGGGGUCCUGGGGGUGCCAUAAGCCCGGCACCCCCUCUCUAACUUCUAGCCACCCCGCCUCAUCUUCCUUCUAGAGCGGCCUGGAGGAAGGAUAUUGGAGGGGAGUGAGCGGGAAGAGCGGCGGCGCGCCGGUGGCAGGAGCGAGAAAAAGUUUUUGCAAAAGGAGAAAAAAAAAAAAAAAAAAGUUUGCGCUUCUCGCGGGUGGUCCCGGCUCGCGGCCCGGCGGGCUGGGCCGGCGGAGGGCUGGGGGCCAGGUUGGGGGGGGGGUGGCACUGAAGCUGCGCUGCAGUGGCCCUGUCGCCCCCCUCCCCGCAGCACCCCCCCAGCCCAGUUUCCAACCCUGGACCGCGCAUCCCGAGCACUGCGCCCCGACUGAGCUCCUUUUUCUUCUGGCAGUCUGUCUGUCCCUGGUCUCUUUGUCUGCGCUCUCCCACCUAUUAGACAUAUCUCCCUUUCUUGAAGUUGGCAUGAAGAGGCUGUUGGGACGGCCAGCAGGAGGUCUGCGUGGUAGAGGGAACUCCAGGUGCGUGUCUGGGCGCCGCUGGAAAGCGCUCAGUGGGGUGGGAACAGGAGUGUUUGGAGGUAACACAAUCACUGAGGGCCCGGCUGGGAUUGGACUCUUGACCCGUGUUGUGACAGAUGUCCAGAUGAAGCCUUGAGUUUGGGGGCAAGAGGAGUGUUUUUGAACUAGGAAGGAAGCUGGGUGGGUUUCCAAACGUGUAGUGUAGGCCUUAGCGGGGAGGUGGGGAGAAUCUGUGGGGAAUUCGUGCUUCUCAGUCCCGAGGACUGCGGGCCAGGCCCCAAGGAAGAGCGAGCGCUGGGGAGACCUUGUCUUGACCCCCUGACCUCGGGACCACCGGGGCAGCUGAAGCCAGGCGGCAGGAGACCCCUGCUGGAGCAAAGCGGGACCACCGGCCACUGCCAGCUUGUGUAUCCCCGCUGGCCCCCCGCCCAAACGGGAGCUGGGGACCGAGGCCCCUCCUCUGGCUUAGACCACCCUGCCUGCCCUUGCUCCCCGCUCUGAAUCCUCUUUCAGGCCCCAUGACCCUGAAACAAUCAACCCGGGAGGGACAGUUAGCUUUGGGGACAGGACGAAGGAAGGGGACUCCAUAGAGACCGAGGGUUCUGGGCGCCUGGAGAAGCGGGACUUGACGGUAUAGGUCUCUCCCUCCAGUGCACGGAGAGGGACGGGCAGUUUUCUGGGAGAAAAGUUCUUGAACGCGGGUGAUUUUCUUCCCCCUAGGGGGCGGGGUUCGGAAGGACCCCCCACCCCAUUAUCUCCCUGGGCAUCCCCGCCGGACCGACGUCUCCGACUCGCCCUUGACGUCACUAGGGGGUUCCCGGGGGUCUAUAGGGGUUAACCCUUAGGAGGCCGGCUGAGAUACUCAGAAGUCUAAGGUGUCCUCUCCUAGCGCACUGUGUGGACUCGGGCACUUCUUUCUGUAGGCUCUGGGUUCUUCCUUCCCGCUCCACCACAGGGACCCCACUUUCCAAUAGUGCCCCCCACCCCGGGCGCCACCGCCUGCUUUCAGGAUGCGUUGAGAGAGGGAGAGAGGAGAGAGAAGGGAAGAAUGUUCCACCCGUCACCCCCCCCCCCGCUUUUCUGGGCUCCCCGGGCGGGCGGGGGAAGCUGAGCCGUCUGCAGCCGGAGCCUGCGGC
rnacentral:lncRNA from 1 species